CUACGGGAGGCAGCAGUGAGGAAUAUUGCACAAUGGGGGGAACCCUGAUGCAGCAACGCCGCGUGGAGGAUGACGCAUUUCGGUGUGUAAACUCCUUUUAUAUGUCAAGAAAAUGACGGUAGCAUAUGAAUAAGCACCGGCUAACUCCGUGCCAGCAGCCGCGGUAAUACGGAGGGUGCAAGCGUUACUCGGAAUCACUGGGCGUAAAGGACGCGUAGGCGGGUUGGAAAGUCAGGUGUGAAAUCCUACAGCUUAACUGUAGAACUGCACUUGAAACUUCUAAUCUAGAGUAUGGGAGGGGGAGAUGGAAUUAGUGGUUUAGGGGUAAAAUCCGUAGAUAUCACUAGGAAUACCUAAAGCGAAGGCGAUCUCCUGGAACACUACUGACGCUAAGGCGUGAAAGCGUGGGGAGCAAACAGGAUUAGAUACCCCCGUAGUC
rnacentral:rRNA from 1 species